UGCCAGCCGCCGCGGUAAUACGGAGGGUGCGAGUGUUAAUCGGAAUUACUGGGCGUAAAGAGUAUGUAGGCGGUUAUGUAAGUUGAAUGUGAAAUCUCUGGGCUCAACCUAGAAACUGCAUUCAAAACUGCUUAGCUAGAGUAUGGUAGAGGAUAGUGGAAUUUCCUGUGUAGCGGUGGAAUGUGUAGAUACAGGAAGGAACACCAGUUGCGAAGGCGGCUAUCUGGACCAAUACUGACGCUGAGAUACGAAAGCUUGGGUAGCAAACAGGAUUAGAUA
rnacentral:rRNA from 1 species